rnacentral:lncRNA from 1 species
AUAAAUUUCUUAUUUUCUGAUUCUCUUCUUUGGCUGAUUGAAGUUGAGUAGGGAAACUAAGAGCGAAGAUGUAGCUGAGAAGGUGGUUUCUUAUUUUCAUGAACUACCAAAUGUUCUUUUCAAGCUUCAACUUUGACAUACCUUGUUGCAGGUGACUCUUGUCACCGAUUCAAGCUUCAAUUUUUUCAGAUGAGUCUUGUGACCGAUUCUCCUGUAAAUUCGUCAAGCAGUGAUGACUUUACGGCAUUUCUUGACGCAGAGUUAAAUUUGAGAUGUAAAUAUGGAUAGUUUGGUAUAGAUUUUGUGGAUGUAGUAAUUUGAAACUGUAAAUGAAUGGUAUUAUUGGGAUGUAUUUUGAAUGGUUGAUACAUUUUGGCUUUAAAUUUAAAUGAGAAUUUAGACCUUUUAGCUAUAUAUCAUGACAUUAGUAUAUUGCAGGUGCAUUGGUAAUGUAGAUGAAUUAUAACUUUUUUUUUCUUUUUUUAAUCCACAAUAUUUUAAAAACGUUGUGUAAAUGUGCCUAAAUGUUGUCUGAUAUACUAAACAAUAACAUUUUUAUCCAAAAAACAUUGUGGAAUCAUACCUUCAAC